UCUUUCUCACUAUUAGUAAAGGUCUGUCCAAACAAAGAAUUUAACACAGGCAGAGCAUAAAUUUACAAUAUUGAAGCUAUUCCACAUUAACUCUGUGUGGACACUCACUGUAAGACAGUUGCUUCACCAUUUACCCUGCCUAGG